rnacentral:rRNA from 1 species
GUCUUUAGCCAUACCACCCUGAACACGCCCAAUCUCGUCUGAUUUCGGAAGCUAAGUAGGGUCGGGCCUGGUUAGUACUUGGAUGAGAGAAUUAGAAUAUUUUUUUUUAGUCUCAAAGAAAAUGAAAUUGAAGAGU